rnacentral:rRNA from 1 species
GGGUUUUUUAUUUUGUACUUCAAAUCUUGAAUUUAUUUUUUAUGUUUUUAAAUGUUUAUUUUUUUAAAUCAAACAUUCAAAAAAAUAUAAAAAAUAAAAUAGAUAUUGACAUGGAUUAAACAAAGAUAUAUAUUAUUCUAUGUUGCAUAAACAAAUUGGCAAAGUAGAGAUGGAAGAUAAAAAUAUGGU